rnacentral:rRNA from 1 species
CCCUUAGAUGUCCUGGGCCGCACGCGCGUUACACUGAUGCAUUCAACGAGCUUAUAACCUUGGCCGAGAGGCCUGGGCAAUCUUGUUAACGUGCAUCGUGAUAGGGAUAGAUUAUUGAAAUUAUUAAUCUUGAACGAGGAAUUCCUAGUAAACGCAGAUCAUCAAUCUGCAUUGAUUACGUCCCUGCCCUUUGUACACACCGCCCGUCGCACCUACCGAUUGGACGUUUUAGUGAGCUCCUCGGAUUGUCAGCCUGGCGGUUAAUCCUGCCUGGCUAGCGAAAAGACGAGCAAACUUGAGCGUUUAGAGGAAGUAAAAGUCGUAACA